rnacentral:rRNA from 1 species
CGCUGGCGGCAUGCCUAAUACAUGCAAGUCGAAUGGGGAGCUUGCUUCCCAUGGGCGAACGGGUGAGUAAUACGUAGGUAACCUACCUUUAGGACGAGGAUAACCUUUGGAAACGAAGGAUAAUACUGGAUAGUAUAGAUUUCCGCAUGGAGAUAUAUUUAAAGAUUUAUCACCUAGAGAGGGGCCUGCGGUGCAUUAGCUAGUUGGCGGGAUAAAGCCCACCAAGGCGAUGAUGCAUAGCCGGACUGAGAGGUUGUACGGCCACAAUGGAACUGAGAACGGUCCAUACUCCUACGGGAGGCAGCAGUAGGGAAUUUUCGGCAAUGGGCGGAAGCCUGACCGAGCCAAUGCCGCGUGAAUGAUGAAGUAUUUCGGUAUGUAAAGUUCUUUUAUCUAGGAAGAAAAACAAAUUGACGGUACUAGAUGAAUAAGCUCCGGCUAACUACGUGCCAGCCGCCGC